GUGCAUGUAGCCUUUUCUCUACUGUUUGAAGAAGUUAAUGUUCUGCCUGAAGUGCACCUGCAAUUCCCAUUAAUGAUUGUGAAAACCUAUCUGAUUUUUAGCUAUCUAGCUGGCUCUGGUUACUAAAGAUAAAACUGGUGUAUAGGACAAGCUCUCUUCUAUCUGAGCUGUGGAUCUGUUUUGCCUCAGGUAGUGCAGGAGCUGACUCAUGAGGAAAAGAUGAAAGAAUUAGGAAAGGACAUUGCAGGAGAUCCGUUCCACACGGCCUGUGGAAUUUUGGCUUCUCGUUCCUAUCUGGAAGAAAAACAAAUUUCAAAAUGCUGGAAUUUCUCACAGAUCAGAAAUUCCUUUUUCCAGAUAGUUCAACAUGAAAGGAUCCUAAUGGCUUCUGUGGCACUUUGCCUGUGUAGGAUUGUCAGAUAUAACAACACCUGUAUGAAGGAGGAAGGGCUGUACAGCAGCACACCCACCACCUUGCACAAGGUAAAGCACCCCCCUGCCCCAGAAACAUUAGCUGGGGCUCCUGAACCUCCUAUUAUCUGGUCCUUUGUUAAAUCUCUUCUAGAAUAAUAUCUCCUGCGCUGAGUCAGUUUAACCUUUCCAGCUGUAAAGGUAGUGGAUAUCUUCGUUAGAGAUGGGAUUCUCAGAAGUUCCUAAUAGAGUCAGCUGUCACCUCUCAGCAAAUUUAAGUGGGACAUUUCAGCCCAAACCUGCUGGUAAAAGGGAAUUUUGAGGUGUGCCAGAA
rnacentral:lncRNA from 1 species